UACGUAGGGUGCAAGCGUUAAUCGGAAUUACUGGGCGUAGAGCGUGCGCAGGCGGUUAUGCAAGACAGAGGUGAAAUCCCCGGGCUCAACCUGGGAACUGCCUUUGUGACUGCAUAGCUAGAGUACGGUAGAGGGGGAUGGAAUUCCGCGUGUAGCAGUGAAAUGCGUAGAUAUGCGGAGGAACACCGAUGGCGAAGGCAAUCCCCUGGACCUGUACUGACGCUCAUGCACGAAAGCGUGAGGAGCAAACAGG
rnacentral:rRNA from 1 species